GACGAACGCUGGCGGCGUGCUUAACACAUGCAAGUCGAGCGGUAAGGCCCUUUCGGGGGUACACGAGCGGCGAACGGGUGAGUAACACGUGGGUGACCUGCCCUCAGCUCUGGGAUAAGCCUGGGAAACCGGGUCUAAUACUGGAUAUGACUCCAUGACGCAUGUUGUGGGGUGGAAAGCCUUGUGCGGCUGAGGAUGGGCCCGCGGCCUAUCAGCUUGUUGGUGGGGUGANGGCCUACCAAGGCGACGACGGGUAGCCGGCCUGAGAGGGCGACCGGCCACACUGGGACUGAGACACGGCCCAGACUCCUACGGGAGGCAGCAGUGGGGAAUUUUGGACAAUGGGGGCAACCCUGAUCCAGCCAUGCCGCGUGCGGGAAGAAGGCCU
rnacentral:rRNA from 1 species